CCUACGGGUGGCAGCAGUGGGGAAUAUUGGUCAAUGGGCGCAAGCCUGACCCAGCAACGCCGCGUGAAGGAAGAAGGCUUUCUGGUUGUAAAAUUCUUUUUUCAGGGACGAAGCAAGUGACGGUACCUGACGAAUAAGCCACGGCUAACUACGUGCCAGCAGCCGCGGUAAUACGUAGGUGGCAAGCUUUAUCAGGAUUUACUGGGUGUAAAGGGCGUGUAGGCGGGACUGGAAGUCAGAUGUGAAAACCACGGGCUCAACCUGUGGCCUGCAUUUGAAACUGUAGUUCUUGAGUACUGGAGAGGCAGACGGAAUGCGUAGUGUAGCGGUGAAAUGCGUAGAUAUUAGGAGGAACACCAGUGGCGAAGGCGGUCUGCUGGAGAGCAACUGACGCUGAGGCGCGAAAGCGUGGGGAGCGAACAGGAUUAGAUACCCGGGUAGUC
rnacentral:rRNA from 1 species